rnacentral:lncRNA from 1 species
UCAUGGUAGACUCCAGUGUGUAGAUACUCGUCACCAUACCUAUAAACCGUACUCAACAAUUAGAAAAUAGCAAAUAACAUCCUAAUCCUAUUCCAUCAAGCCAAGGUUAGAACAAACACUUACCUCGAAUGCUUCAAACCUAACUCAAGCCUCUAGUAUAGAUUUACCCCUCGAAUUCACCACCAAACCGUUCGAAUCUAGUCACCAAUUACUAAAAUGUGUUAACAAAUGCUACUUGAAUCAAUUUGAAUGCAUGAAAAUAAUUUUUCCAAGAUUUUUCUCAAAAAUUCCCAAAAUACCAGCGGGCCCACGUGGUCAAAACCCAAGGUUCGAGUCAAAACUCGAUUACCCAUACCCAUAAGCUCAAAUAUAUAAGUUAUUUUGAAAUUGGACCUCAAUUGAGGUCCAAUUCCCCAAGUUUAAGAAACCUAAAUUCUAACCAAACCUCCAAUUCCCAUUUAUGAAAAUCUUUGAUUGAAGUUGAAAUCAUGUUAAAAG